UUAUUUAUAUUCUCGAAUUAAUUAAUUGGAUUAAUUAAUUCAUCGAUCGAGUUUAAUUAAACGGAUUAAUUGAAUAUUGGACCGAAUCGGGCCGAACCCGUUUGAGUUUAUAUAAAUACAUGGUUAGGGUUUGAGAUCCAUAAGGUUUUCAUUAUUCUUGCUGUCACAAGAGGAAAAACCCUAACAGUUGCAGUCUAUUCUCUGUGUGGAUUUCAUUAGAGGCUGGACAAUUGGAUAGUUGUAGGAAGUAGAUUCAAGUUGUUGGAAAGGAAUAACGCGAAUAAGUUUGCAAAAUCAAGAAAAUGUAUAUUUCUUAUCACAAUUUUUAUCUAAAUACAAGGCUGAAUCCUGAAUGUGAAUUGAAAUUUAUUUAAUUUCGCUGUGCAUAUUUAAGUAAAUUCCCUACAUGAAGGUGGUAGGAUUGUGGAUAUCAUGUGCUUUGUGUUGGCAUAUGGGCUUGGUCCUGUAUAUUGCUCUGUGAGAACAAGCCAUGCUUCAACAAAAGGGUAAAGGAAUCAAUAAGAAAACUGUUGAAAGAUAUGAUGGACUUUAGGGCUGAGGAACGUGAUAUUGAACCACCAAGAGUGGCUAUCUCUAAAUGGGAGUCAUCUAUGCAAGGAAAUGAUGUUGAACAAGAAAGAAGCCAUAGCCAUGUUCCAAUGAAGCAAGGCUACUGGAUUUGCUUCAUGUGCCAAUUCCUAAAUGUUUCUCGGAAUAUCAAGUGCUUAAGUUGUGAUGGCAUAUCUGAAUAAAGACAAAAAAUUAUUGGAAGAUCAGGAUCAUCUCCCACUGAAGAAAGGAGAGUGGAUAUAAAAUAAAUACAAUUUUUUGAAUUUUGCAAGAUACACGGGAUGCUUGCAGUGUAAAGAGAAACCUCCAAAGAGGCAACUUAAUCCUGGGGAGUGAGAAUGUGAAUCGCGUAAGUGUAACUACGUCAAUUUCAGAAGAAACAUGGUAUAUCUGAAAUGCAAUCCCAAAAGAUUGAUAGCAUCACAUGGUUCUGGCAAUUCCUCUCAACAUGGAAGUAGUGCUGUAAUAGCACUAGCCUCCUUUGGGCACGGGAAACAAAGAAGGAAUGGUGUAGAUUCAUGGAAAUUUGUAGAAAGUGAAAGUAAAGAUCAUACUGGUUCAAACUCAUGAAAUCAGGUGCCAGGAUUCACCGACUUUCCAGUCAUUGGUGGUAAGAGUGAUUUGUCCUGAAAUCUGCAAAGCAGGAUAGGCGGAAAAUGAAAAUGGCCAUCAAAAGCAGAAGUGUUUCCCAUGCAAGGGUAUUCAGCCCCUGAAUCUAUAUGUCUAAUCUGAAUGUUAAGGGUGCGGUUGGUUUAAUUUUCCAUUUUCCAUUUUCAGUUUCAAAAUGAUUUUUAGUUUUUCCCGAAAAUGGCACGUUUUGAGCGUUUUCCGUGUCUUGGGAAUUUAUAAUUGAAAACGCUCAAAAUGAUAAAAAGUCGUUUUGCAUUUUCAGUUAUAAAUUUUAGCUUGUUUUCGAAAACGACGGACCAAACGCGUUUUAUGCGUUCUCGAAAACGUAAAAUGGCCCGAAAACGCCAAACCAACCGCAACCUAAUUUUCUGGUAUACGUCAUAAAUAAAUUUGGUGAAAUAAUCGUAAACUUACCCGUUUCAUGCAUUUUAGUUCUUUUUUUAUGAUGUUCAUAGUAUAUCUUUUGGGGACUGAAAAUUGCUUGAUAAUCAACUCCAGAGCAUAUUAUGCCAUAUUAUAGGUUCAGAAAUUUUCCUUUUC